GGUGCCUGUCAGGUGACACCCCUGCCCCCACCAUGCCAGGGAAGUCGAGCUCCAAGCGGCGUUCAUCGGACAUCAUCAGCCUGCUGGUCAGCAUCUACGGCAGCAAGGACCUCUUCAUCAAUGCUGCGCUUUGGCGAGGCCCCAAUGCACUUCUGUGAAGUCAUGCUGAAGGUGGGUCCCAGCCCCGCCCGCUGCCCGGCCGCCCCGCAGGUCCCCCGUGACACCGGCUCCUCCUCAGGACAUGGCGGACUCCCGCCGCAUCAAUGCCAACAUCCGGGAGGAGGAUGAGAAGCGGCCAGCAGAGGAGCAGCCACCGUUCGGGGUCUACGCUGUCAUCCUGUCCAGUGAGUUCUGGCCGCCCUUCAAGGACGAGAAGCUGGAGGUCCCCGAGGAUAUCAGGGCAGCCCUGGAGGCUUACUGCAAGAAGUAUGAGCAGCUCAAGGUA
rnacentral:lncRNA from 1 species